UAACCCAUAUUUUUAGAUCUUUGAUUUUGAUAAAAAAUAAUUUCAAAAUCAUUACUUUUGGAAAAUAUCAUUUUAGUCCCUAAAAGACAAUUUCUUAAAAUUUGGCCAUAUCUAAAAAAAACUUUUAGAGAUGAAAGCAACCUUGAGCCAUCACAAUUAAUUAAUUGAAAUUCACAAUGAAUAGAAUUAAACAAAGUAUAAAUAAAAAUACUUU
rnacentral:lncRNA from 1 species